UUGUGGGAAUGUUUUGGUUAAAGUUACCGGUGGUUAAAUUCCACUAUGCGCGGUUAGGUUACUUUGCGGUAUAUCGUGUUUAUACAAUCGAGUUACCUUGAAGGUUACUAAACCUGAAUAAC